rnacentral:rRNA from 1 species
UUAUUUAAAGAUAAAAUAUAUUUUUUUUUAAUUUUUAAAAAAAUAUUUUUUUUUUAAGUAUAUUUUUAGAAAGAAAUAUUAAUUUUAUAUAGAUAGUACUGUAAAGGAGUUUUUUAAUUAAAAUAAAAGUAUAUUAAUAUAUAGUACCUUUUGUAUCAGGGUAUAUUAAAUUUUAUAAAAUAUUUUAUUUUCCCGAAAUAUCAAGAUAUAUAAAAAAAUGAUUAUUAAUGUUUAAAAAUUAUUUAAAAUUUUUUUAUAGAUGAAAUAUUCUAUUCAAUUGAUAAUAUCUGGUUAUUUGAGAAAUGGAUUAAAUCCAUAAUUAAGGAUUUUUUAUAAAUUUAUUUUUUUUAAUUAAAAUAUAUUUGGGAUAAGCUGGGUAUAUAUUAUAUAAUUUAUAAAAAUUAUAAUUUUUUGUAAGAUUAAAAAUUUCUAUCUUUUAUUUUGUAAUAAUAUGUUUUUAUAUAUAUAUAUUUUAUUAUAAAUUUAUAUAUUUAUCAAAUUUAAUAUUUUAUUAAUAAAUAUAUUGUAAUUAUGAUUUAAUUAGUAUUUAUUUGAAUUAACAUAUAGUAAUUCGGCAAAUAUUAUUUUCACCUGUUUAACAAAAACAUGUCCUUUUGUAAAUAUAAAAGGUCUGACCUGCCCAAUGAUUUUAAUUUAAUGGCUGCAGUAUUUUGACUGUACAAAGGUAGCAUAAUCAUUUGUCUUUUAAUUGAAGACUGGUAUGAAUGGUUUGAUGAAAAAUAUACUUUCUUUAUGUUAUAGGAAAAAUUUAUCUUUUUAGUGAAAAUACUAAAAUUAUUAUAUAGGACGAGAAGACCCUAUAGAACUUUAAUUUAUAAUUUAUAAUAUAAUUUUGGUUAUUUUUAUUUUUAUAUAAAUUAUAAAUUUGUGUUGGGGUGAUAGAUAAAAUAUAAAAACUUUAUUUUUUGGUAUCAAUUAUUUUUGUAAAUUUUUUGAUCCUUUUUUUAAGAAGGAAGAAUAAGUUACCUUAGGGAUAACAGCGUUAUUAUUUUGGAGAGUUCUUAUCGAUAAAUUAGUUUGCGACCUCGAUGUUGGAUUAAAAUUAGUAAUAGGGGGAGAUUCUUAUAUACUAGGUCUGUUCGACCUUUAAAUUUUUACAUGAUCUGAGUUCAGACCGGCGUGAGCCAGGUUGGUUUCUAUCCAUAUAAAAUUAUAAAGUAUUAGUACGAAAGGACCUUACUUUAAGAAAAUUUUUUAAUUUAUGAUUUUUAUAAUUA